GUGGCAGCCGCCGCGGUAAUACGAAGGGACCUAGCGUAGUUCGGAAUUACUGGGCUUAAAGAGCACGUAGGUGGUUAGAAAAGUUGAUGGUGAAAUCCCAGAGCUUAACUCUGGAACUGCCAUCAAAACUUUUUAGCUAGAGUAUGAUAGAGGAAAGUAGAAUUUCUAGUGUAGAGGUGAAAUUCGUAGAUAUUAGAAAGAAUACCAAUUGCGAAGGCAGCUUUCUGGAUCAUUACUGACACUGAGGUGCGAAAGCAUGGGUAGCGAAGAGGAUUAGAUACCCUCGUAGUCCAUGCCGUAAACGAUGUGUGCUAGACGUUGGAAAUUUAUUUUCAGUGUCGCAGCGAAAGCAUUAAGCACACCGCCUGGGGAGUACGACCGCAAGGUUAAAACUCAAAUGAAUUGACGGGGACCCGCACAAGCAGUGGAGCAUGUGGUUUAAUUCGAAGAUACGCGCAGAACCUUACCAACACUUGACAUGUUCGUCGCGACUUUAAGAGAUUAAAGUCUUCGGUUCGGCCGGACGAAACACAGGUGCUGCAUGGCUGUCGUCAGCUCGUGUCGUGAGAUGUUGGGUUAAGUCCCGCAACGAGCGCAACCCUUACUUUUAGUUGCCAUCAUUUAGUUGGGCACUCUGAAAGAACUGCCAGUGAUAAGCUGGAGGAAGGUGGGGAUGACGUCAAGUCCUCAUGGCCCUUACGUGUUGGGCUACACACGUGCUACAAUGGCACUCACAAUAGGAAGCAAAGAGGUGACUCCAAGCAAAUCCUAAAAAAGUGCCUCAGUUCGGAUUGUACUCUGCAACUCGAGUACAUGAAGCUGGAAUUGCUAGUAAUCGCGGAUCAGCGCGCCGCGGUGAAUACGUUCCCGGGUCUUGCACACACCGCCCGUC
rnacentral:rRNA from 1 species